AGAGUUUGAUCCUGGCUCAGAAUGAACGUUGGCGGCGUGGAUUAGGCAUGCGAGUCGUACGAGAACCCGCAAGGGGGAAAGUGGCGAACGGGGUAGUAAUGCGUAGGUGACGUGCCCUGGGGUCGGGGAUAGCUUAGGGAAACUUAAGGUAAUACCCGAUAAUCCCGGUAGGUUUGAAGACCAUCCGGGCAAAGGUGUAAUUCCACCUCAGGAGCGGCUUGCGUGGUAUUAGCUAGUUGGUGAGGUAACGGCUCACCAAGGCUGCGAUGCC
rnacentral:rRNA from 1 species